AUUGCAACCUCCGCCUCCUGGGUUCAAGCAAUUCUCCUGCCUCAGCCUCCUGAGUAGCUGGGAUUACAGGCGCCCGCCACCACUCCCAGCUAAUUUUUGUAUUUUUAGUAGGGACGAGGUUUCACCAUGUUGGUCAGGCUGGUCUCAAACUCCUGACCUCGUGAUCUGCCCUCCUUGGCCUUCCAAAGUGCUGGGAUUACAGGCGUGAUGGAGAUGAUACUCCCUAAAUCACAAGGGUGUGGUGUGAAGAUGAAAUGGCUGCACGUGACAGAGGAGUUGGAGAACAGGAAGCAAGUGGAUUACUUGGAUGAACUGUGAUGGGCCCAAGAAGAACUAAGCCAAUCACUCCAGGGGGCGUUUUCCCAGGAUCCAGGCAGAGAGCUGAUUCCAGCAUCCACGUUGUAUCCCCCUCCCGCUGUGGCCGGGGUCUCCAAGAGCCGGGCACCCACUGCAGAGCUUCCAAGCCCAGGCCCAUUUGAACACAGGAGGACUUUUGAGGUUCAUUUAACCCCAAAAUCAGUGAUUCUACAUCUCAAGCUCAUAUUUUGAAGUGUUUACGGUCUCGAGCUCCAGUUCCCUGCCAGGAAGAGCUGAAGCUGAGCUCUGGCACCCCCUGCUUCUUCU
rnacentral:lncRNA from 10 species